UUUAAUUCGAAGCAACGCGAAGAACCUUACCUAAGCUUGACAUCCCAAUGACAUCUCCUUAAUCGGAGAGUUCCCUUCGGGGACAUUGGUGACAGGUGGUGCAUGGUUGUCGUCAGCUCGUGUCGUGCGAUGUUGGGUUAAGUCCCGCAACGAGCGCAACCCUUGUCUUUAGUUGCCAUCAUUAAGUUGGGCACGCUAGAGAGACUGCCAGGGAUAACCUGGAGGAAGGUGGGGAUGACGUCAAAUCAUCCUGCC
rnacentral:rRNA from 1 species